UAGAGAUGUUUAUUUUCAAUUUUCUCCCAGUUUCAGUCACGGCAGUCUCUGGCAAUUGUCAGUCUGCUUGCAGGUAGUUUGGGGUUCCUCCACCUGGUCGCACCUCCAGCAGCCUUUGCAUAUCCUAAACAAAAAAAAAACCAAGAAAAAACUAUGUUAAUGUGUGAGCUGCAUGGAAGUGAGGCGAACUUAAAAGCAAGGCAUGGCACAAACAUGCUCGAAUCCGCCUGCGGAGCAAACCGCAGACAUUGAAAGUGUCGCAGGAGCAGCAGCCAGCCCCAACUGUCUCUCUGUCUCUCACUCUCGAUAAAUCUCUUCGGAUGUGUUGUUAACUGCCGCCGGCAUAGCUGCUGCUACUGUUGCAGCCCGCACCCACCUUUUUCUAGGACUCCAGGAUAGACAGCCAGACGGAGUCAGCGUAGCGCCUCAAUUUGCACGCUUCGUUAUUCAAUUAGACACUCGACACACACACACACACAGACACAGCCAGACAGACAGCAGCAACCAGAGUGGCAGCAGAGAUAACCUCCGACAACACGGAUACUCGUAAUUUUGAUUGAUGGCCCAAUAAUGGCGGUGAUUUAUCAUAUUUGCAUGCUAACAUUUAAGCCCUAGCUCACUACCGACUCUCUGUCUCUCUCUCUCUCUCAGCUCUCCGGACAUGCUGGCAAAUUAGCCGGAUAAUAUAAUUAAAUUUAGCCCUUGCCAGGCGUUUGGAUAUUUAUGAAUAAAAUUGCACAUUGAAGCUAUUGGGAUGCGACAGCAGAUUGGG
rnacentral:lncRNA from 1 species